UACGAAGGGGGCUAGCGUUGUUCGGAGUUACUGGGCGUAAAGGGCGCGUAGGCGGCGCAUCAAGUCAGGCGUGAAAGCCCUGGGCUCAACCCGGGAAUUGCGCUUGAGACUGGUGUGCUUGAGUACGGGAGAGGAUAGUGGAAUUGGUAGUGUAGCAGUGAAAUGCGUAGAUAUUACCAGGAACACCAAUGGCGAAGGCAGCUUGCUGGGCCACUCCUGACACUGAGGUACGAAAGCGUGGGGAGCAAACAGG
rnacentral:rRNA from 1 species